rnacentral:rRNA from 1 species
UACGGAGGUUCCAAGCGUUGUUCGGAAUUACUGGGGCGUAAAGGGAGCGCAGGCGGACAAGUCAGUCUAAAGUGAAAUUCCGGGGCUCAACCUCGGACUUGCUUCGGAUACUACUUGUCUUGAGUUCGUGAUAGGAAGACGGAAUUCAGGGUGUAGCGGUGAAAUGCACAGAUAUCCUGAGGAACACCGGUGGCGAAAGCGGUCUUCUGGCGCGAAACUGACGCUGAGGCUCGAAAGCGUGGGUAGCAAACGGGAUUAGAUACCCGUGUAGUCCCUGAG